GGAGACCGAAGGCUGGGCACCGUCGGCAGGAAAAGCCAAAUCGGGCAUCCAUCUCUCCUUGUGUCCGUCUCUGCAUUUUCCUACCGGCUGUACAUAGCAGCUUCUCCCCAUCCUCAAGUGAGGAAGAUGGUGGAAAACCGGUCAUCUGGCUCCCAGCAGAAAUGGGUCUGAGCAGCAAAGGAUGCAAGUGUUGGAGCCCCCAGGAAUUCCCUCUGAACAGCAGCUGCAAAAAAGAGAAGCAUUUUAUAAGCACUCACCAGUAUGACAAAGCAAUGGUACCAUUUUUAGAGGACACAUUAAAAUAAGCAAGCCACUACAAUGAAGAUUUAUGUGCCAUGCAUGGAAUCAAGCACACCACUGUCCUGGGAGCCCUACUCCAAAAACACAGAGAUGUUGAGAGUUGCCUUGUCUCAAAACCAAGUCAAACAGGCACAGCCACCCAGAACAAGUUAGUCUGUGUGAAGGAAAGAAGAACCAGCAAUCUCCUUUUCCCAGGCUCUUCCCAGGAAGAGGUAAUCUUAUUUUCUCUCAAUGAAUUGUUAGAAGUUUCUUUUACCAUGCUGGAUUAUUUAAAACUUGCUCAAUUUUGCAGUGGGUUCACUGAGAUUAAUAUUUUGUGUGCUCCCGUAGCGAGCAUUAACAAAAUUUGGGAGAGGUUAUUGCUG
rnacentral:lncRNA from 1 species